UCGAUGUCAUAAUUUGGUGUCGUGGGGAAUCAGGACUGUUACUUUGAAAAAUUAGAGUGUUUAAAGCAGGCAUACGCUUGAAUACAUUAGCAUGGAAUAAUGAAUAGGACGUUUGAUUCUAUUUGUUGGUUUCUAGGAUCGACGUAAUGAUUAAUAGGGAUAGUUGGGGGGCAUUAGUAUUCAAUUGUCAGAGGUGAAAUUCUUGGAUUUAUUGAAGGCUAACUACUGCGAAAAGCAUUUUGCCAAGGAUGUUUUCAUUAAUCAAGAACGAAAGUUAGGGGAUCGAAGACGAUCAGAUACCGUCGUAGUCUUAACCAUAAACUAUGCCGACUAGGGAUCGGAUGAUGUUAAUUUUUAAUGACUCAUUCGGCGCCUUACG
rnacentral:rRNA from 1 species